GAAGUGAACUACUUGGUAAAAGGAUUAAGGA
rnacentral:piRNA from 1 species